CCUACGGGUGGCAGCAGUGGGGAAUAUUGCACAAUGGGGGAAACCCUGAUGCAGCAACGCCGCGUGAGUGAAGAAGUACUUCGGUUUGUAAAGUACUUUCAGCAGGGAAGAGAAUGAUGGUAUUUGUCCAUGUAGUCCUGGCCAACUACGUGCCAGCAGCCGCGGUAAUACGUAGGGGGCGCGCGUUAUCUGGAUUUACUGGUUGUAAAGGGAGCGUAGACGGUUCUGCAUGUCUGAAGUGAAAGCCCUUGGCUUAACCGCGGAACGGCUUUGGAGACUGCGCAUCUGGAGUGCUGGAGAGGGGAGCGGAAUUCCAGGUGUAGCGGUGAAAUGCGUAGAGAUUAGGAGGAACACCAGUGGCGAAGGCGGCUUGCUGGACAGUAACUGACGUUGAGGCGCGAAAGCGUGGGGAGCAAACAGGAUUAGAUACCCGUGUAGUC
rnacentral:rRNA from 1 species